UCGCAUCGGGGCGGCAGUCGAGGCUCGUCAGUCGACCAAGUAAUACGUGUCCUGUUGAUCGUCGGUAUAAGUGUGUAACGAACAACGUGUACACAAGGAUAAACACGAAACGAAAGAAAAAACGUAAAAUUUAAUAACGUGCAAGCGUGAAAAAUAAUAAUUGUGUUCGACUCGAAGUUUUUACGUUGUUUUUUCGUCUUAUUAUUACCUCGUACUUUCGAUCGUGAGUGUUAUCUUUAUUUCAUUUAUUUUAUGUGGUAUUCCAUUCGAAUCGAGAAUUUGAUUAAUCGACCGUGUAUUACGUAUAUUGGACACACAAUUCCUUUCCCUUUUUAUCUAUAGAAGAAGAAAUUUGCUUUUCGAUUCAAUAGGAAGAAGGAUGAGUAAGAAACGACGUAUAUGAUGCCGUAUCGUCGUAUCGCGAUGAGGUCCAAGAUGAGAAGUUGCGAGUCUCUCUAACAUCGAUGAUAAAUGCCCGAAGGAUAACCGAACCCCAACUCGAGUCUAUCGAUCAGAAAUUUCGAUUUCCUUUGGACAAGUACGAUGAUCUCAAAGGAAGCGGAAGAAUCAUGGUCCAUGGCGAAGAUUCGAAGAACUAACGAUUUAUCGAUUGGUCCGUGUGUCAGCAGGCUAGUGGAACGUCGAAUCGUUUGAUAAUUUCAUUAUUCUGCCGCGAAACGACGUUAAUCAUGGCAAGAGACAGGCGUGUAAUCGGCGACACGGCGGCCAUUCGUCUAACAAGCGCGAAGAAAUCGCGUUGGGGGAAAAAGGAGAUCGUCUAGGGAUCCCUAGCAAUUGGAUAUCUAUAUUUAAGGGCAAGGGAGGAAGAGAGAAAGAGGGAGAAGGGAAAAAGUGACGUUGCGGAGAAAUAAUAAUUCGCAUUCCCAUCUAGCAAGGCUCGAUUGAAGACAAGUCGGCUGGAACAGCGGAUCCAUUCGGAACAGUGAGCAUCGAAAUGAAGCUAGGGGAUAACAUGACUAUGGAUGCGUGCAACGUAUGGGGCAACGUUCCUCCGCGAAAAUGUCGGCCACCGAAAAUCGGCGAUAUUCCAAAACACACCGCGAUCGACGAAGAGUCUCCAGGUUCCAUCCCAAAGUCGUUGACAAUCGCCGCGCCAACUUCGAGGGACGCUACCCUGGACAUUCCUCUGGACAGAGAAAAUCUCGUUUUCCCAUUGCCUUCCAGCGCCUCCGCCGACCAACACCCUUCCGUUCGAAGAUUCGAAGCAAAACCAAUUCUGUCGUCCAAGGAAUCAUCCGUCAAGUUGCAACACCCAUCGACGAAACGAGAAUCCCUCAACAUUUUCAACAAAUCCUUCCGUUCUCCGGAACAACAGCAAACCAAACUUCCGAUAUCAAAGAAAUCACCAGACAUAGACAAGGACCAAACGAGAGAGAGAUUCGCCGAUUUGGAAGGGAAAGUGACCAUCAAGUUACCAUCUGACGAAUUGACCACGCUUGGAUCACGCAAAGAUCACGAGGAUUCCAGCAGGAUUCCAUCCAGUCCAGAGGACAUUUCUGAUCGAGAGAUCAUCGAGGUGAGAAAGGACAGUGCCUUGUUUCUGGAGGAACCCGAGGGGUUGCCCACUCUUCGAGAAAUUUUGAAAUCGAAGGCUCCAAGAGUGGUCAGGCCUAGGAGAGAGAGCAGUGGAUACGCGAGUAAUUUGGGGACGUUCGACGAGGACAGGAGGAAUUCGUCGACUGUGGACGUGUUGCAAGAUUUCUCCUCCCUCAAGGAGAGGCGCAGAUCCUCUACGACUAAACGGUUAAAUUCGAGAGUGAUAUUGGGGAGAGCUGAAGAAAGCUUGACAGAGGACGUCGAGGUUGGAAGCAUGCCUACCACAGAGGUGCACAGAAAGGUGUCCGGAGCUGGACUCGAGAUGCCUAAUAUAGAGGAAGUUAAGGAGAUUCUCAGAGAUGAAGCUCCUUCUAGGCAGGAGAGUCUGGAUAAUUUGUGUGGAUUGACAAAACCUAUCAAUUCUGAAGAGUUCUCCACGCAUUGUCGUCUAAGCGAUUUACCAGAUCGAGGCGGCUCUCCAAAAGACAGAUCAGAAGUACCAUCCACUAUUAAAUGCCAAGAAUCAUCGACUAUCUUCGAUUCUAUAAACCGCUUUUCGAUAUCUCCAACUUCGAGGAGUCAAACUCCAUUUAUUCUUUGCACCACGCCAACCAUGUUCCACGAUUCUCGAAGUACCGAUAAACACACAACGCCACUCGACCAAUCGAAAGAUAUCAAUUCUGACAGAAUCAGAACUGUCGUGUCAAAAAUUAACGAAGCGUCACCAUUGGAGAAAAUCUCUGUGAUUCAGAAGAAGGAAGAAACUGCGAUGAAGCAAUCUGUCGGAGAAAAUAUUGUUCCACGACCGAUCAAGAUGUACCAAUUACUGUCCACCCAGUCUGAAGACAGAGGGGAGGGCGAGCUGCAGUUGGACAGAAGGAUAUUUCAAAUUUCUAAACAAGAUGACACGACUGCGGUGAUAUCUUCGACGAAACAUCCCUUGAACAAGUCUUCGAGCGUUUUCACGCUGAAGAGCAGCGCUUCUGGGGACAUCCAGACGUUGACGUGUGGUGAAACUGCGGACGAUUCGAACGUUAGAAAAGCGAUUUCACCUGGAGAGGUGGGGACGAGUCAGAGUUUUCUUGGAGAUGCCUCGAGUGUCUCUGUGAGACCUAUUUAUCCUUAUUGUCCUUAUUCUCCGUAUGGAAGUCCUCAGGGAUCUCCCAGAAACAGGAGGAGGCCUUUGAGGGAGAGCAGGAGAGUUUCCAUUGACAACAAACAGGGGGCUCUUCAACUGAAUCAAUAUAAAUUGUUGGACAACAUUGGUCAAGGUUCCUACGGGAUUGUGAAACUAGUUUACAACGAAGAAGACGAGACCCAAUACGCGAUGAAGAUCCUGAGCAAGAAGAAGCUGAUGAAGAAGGCAGGAAUAUUCGGUAGGAUGGCUCCGGGGAGAAAGGGCGCGGCCAACCCUUUGGCCAAAGUUUACAGGGAGAUCGCGUUGUUGAAGAAAUUGGAUCACCCAAACGUGGUGAAAUUGGUCGAGGUUCUCGACGACCCGGACGAGGAUAAUCUUUACCUUGUUUUCGAAUUGGUCCAGAGGGGAGAGAUCCUUCAGGUGCCCACCGACAAACCUCUUGACGAGGAAACUGCCAGGAAGAAUUUUCGUGAUGUUGUAAUGGGGGUGGAAUAUCUGCACUAUCAGAGGAUAGUCCACCGCGACAUAAAACCUAGCAACCUGUUGGUAGACAGCGACGGUCGGAUCAAGAUCGCUGAUUUAGGCGUCAGUGCAGAGCUGAGGGCAUCCGGAGAGUUAUUAUCCGGGCCAGCCGGAACACCGGCGUUCGCAGCACCCGAAACAACCACGCCUGGCGCCCAUUAUUCCGGGACGUUGUGUGACGUAUGGUCAAUGGGAGUAACAUUGUAUUGUUUGGUGACCGGAAGAAUACCUUGGGACGGAGCCGGAAGUAUAAUUGGCGUUCAAGCGGCAAUACGCAGUGAACCGUUAAAAUUUCCAGAGAAACCAGCCCUUUCACGAAAUCUCCGCGAAUUGAUCUCAAAAAUGCUAGCCAAAGAUCCAGCUGAAAGAAUUACGUUAUCAGAGAUGAAGGAACACGUUUGGCUGACCAAUCGUGGCGCUGAACCACUGCCAAUCGAAGCUGACAACUGUCGACUUCCGGUUACCGUUACGGAUGAGGAAGUGGAACGGGUGGUUACGAGAAUACCCAAACUGGACACUUUGAUUCUUAUCAAAACUAUGCUGAAGCAGCACAGUUUCCAAAAUCCAUUCUUGCCGAAGAAGAGUGGAAAAACGGCGAAUACGACGGCGGAUAGCGUAGAAUUAUCCCCAUCGGAAAGAGCCGAGGAGAUCUCACCGGGGAAGAAAAUAAUCAGGAACGUAAAGACGGAGCAGUUUCAAAGAACAGGUAGAAGCAAUUCCGCGCCGGAUUCUUAUGAUUGGCAAACAAAUGGCAGACAAAUAUCUACAGAAAGUCCUCUACCUCCGGUGACAGAAGCAUCUAUUCAGGAAACGGAAAUGGAGAAACGGUGAUAUCACGGAUCAACGUGACGAAGAAAACCACAAUUAACCAAUUAGUUGAUAAAAACGGUAUGAGCCGACUUAACAUUCAAUGACCAAAUGAAAUUAAUUCUAUAUACUUAUUGUACAUUAUACAUUGUAUAUUUGAAAAUUCAUAUUUCAUUUUUUUAUUUUUCUUUAAUUUCUAGCAACUAAAAAUUGAUCAUAGAUAUCUGGAAGGAAUAUUUUUACACAGAAUAUUAUUAUAUGUAAAGGAUAUACAAAAUUUCGAUUUAAAAAUUCAAAAAUCUAGUUACAUGAUUGCAAUAAAUUAUUAAAUUUUUUUUUAAGUAACUUCAAAAUAAUCGUUUUUUUGGCGAAAAUAGUUAUAUUCUUUAUCUCAAAGUGUUGCAUCAUGUAGCAAUAAUGAUUCUUCUGGCGUAUCAAUUAUUUUUCAUUUAUUCUGAAUCAAUUAUUUCGUCGUGUUAAUUACAAUUGCAAAUGAUUUGAUAGCAAACAACGUUCAUUUAUGAAUUUACUUUUCAACACGGUGAAACAGUAGUACUUUCUCGAUUUUCGAAAUUGAAAUUAUAAAUAAUAUUACAAAUAAUUAAACAAAUUAUUGAAAGAAGGAAUAAAAUUAAUUUAAAGAAACGUUAUGAAAUUGUUAAUGCAGAUUAAAUGAAUAAAAUAAGAAGAUAAGUCAGAUCAUUUUUAGCUGAGCCGAAUUUUUAAAUGUAGUUGUAAGAAACAACUUAAUCUAUACUCUAAAAAUAAUUAAAUAUAAUGGAAAUUUUCAAUUGUCUCGAGUUAUCUCUUCGGAUAAUAUUCGUUUUGAUCCAUUUAAAUAAAUACAAUUUAUUUUAUCUUAAUAAAUAAUUUCAUUGUACAAUUUAAUUCAAUUUAUUUUUCAAAAUGAAAAAGUAAAAUGAGUGAAAUAUUCAAUUGAAAUAAAAUAAAUAUUAAAACUUUUUAAAAACUUUCAAUUUAUGAAAUAAAAAGUUCGUUGAAAGGAUUAAUAAUUCUGAAGAGAUUAAUGAGACACUUGAAAAAUCAGAUGGCGUUUUACUUACAAAUUUUAAUUAAAUAGCUGUAGAUAGAGGGCAAAUGUUGUCAGUUGAGAGUUGAAAGAAUUAAACAUACUUUCUAUUCACGGAAUAUAAAGAAUGUUUAGAAGAACAGUUUAUUGAAACAACGAUAUCUCUUUAAGAAUAUUUACGAGAAUGAAAUAAUAAUUUUCAGCGAAUAUUUUAUUUUUUAUUUCCUCGAUUUUAUAUAAUUUAAUAAUAAUGCACAGUUUCGUAUUUGUAAAUGAUUUAAAUGAUUCGAUAAAGUUUCUAAUAUUAUCCAUAUGAGUGCCUAUAUCAACGAAUUUUAAUUCCAUAUUUUAAAUUCUAUUUAUUAUAAAAAAGAAAAUUACAAAUUUAUUUAUUGGAUAAAAAUUAAAACAUUUCCUUCGUAUAUUUCUAUUUCAUAUGUAUAUGUAUAAACGUUUUAUUUUCUUUCUGUACAUUUUUUAAAAAUUCUAUCUGGGAUCUAACAAAAUGAUCAUGCGAUUUCGAUAAAUAUUCAAUAGAUAUUUAUACAGGGUAAUUAGAUAGGGUAGUACUCCUAUGAAAAGCAAGAUAUUCAGAUUUAUCACAAAUUUAUUGAGAUCUUGGAAUAUAAAUUAUCUAUUAGAGGAUUUAAUUUAGUAUAUCUUCCACUGUAAUCGAUAGAUCGCAAAUUCUAACCUCAAAUCGCAAGAUCUUUUUUUGGAUCAAAUGAAACGGAGGCACUCAUAAAGUGCGUGUUGUACAUAGAAUGUAUAAAUUUAAGUCUUGCAAAUUCGAGUGCAAAGCACGCGACCAAACGAACGCAACCAAAGUCAGAUUCGUGAUUUCGUUGGAUCUUACUGAUAUCCGGGGGACCAUAAGUGCGUAUUUUAAUUUAAUCGAUAACCAUCUAACCUCACGACCGGAUACAUUUCAUAUCGACAGUCAUAUCAUGCCCCGACCUCACAAAUUUUCUCGAAAUGAUGCAACCAUGUUCAUGUGACAAACAUUCAUUUUCCAAUGUUAUUAACGUUUAUUAGCAAUUAAUGGUAGUUGUAAGCGCAGUGAAUAGACGCCAUUAGAUUGCGACGGUGGCAUUGGUAAAAUUGUAGAAUAUUUUUUUAUAAAUAGAUAAAAAACAAAAAAAAAAUAAAUAAAUAAAAAUCCGAAGAAAUCCGAAGAGUUACUUAAAAUUGUAAAAUAUUUGUUUUCGAUAAUGUUGAAGUACAGAACGUUUCGUAAUUACGAGAUACAAGAUGAAAGAUACAUUCUUUGCGAUGACAGUACGAGUAUUUGAACUGUAGAUUGUGCUGCAAUCGCAUUGAGAUCUCAUAAGACGUUUAAGGUGCAUAGGCCUUUUACGUCUAAUUGUUACGGGUAUGUGUGUUAUAAUAAGACUAGAAUCUUACAAUAUUUCUGAUGGUAUGUAAUAUUUCGAGUCAAUGAAUUUAAUCCAAUCUUAUUGUGAACCAUUUGCUUUUUUACAUAUUAAAAGCUUACGCUUUUCCUCAUCUUAACCACCAAAAAUUUUUAAAAUUUUACUACGAUACUUAAAAUAAUCUAAAAAUCUAGGGAAAAAAAAAUAUAAAAUAAAAAAAAAAUAUUUUAUCAGUACUUUCUCGAGCUUAAAAAAUUUCUUGUAAGAUUCUAAUAAUUAGCUGUAACGAUUUAUAGAAUUAAAGGAUGUUAUAAACGAGAAAAUGUUUAUCAAUUUUCAAUUGAUCUCGAAAAAAAAAAAUAUUACGUAUCUACAGAAAUAUUUUUUCUAACCCUCGUUGACAAAAGCGAAGCGUUUUUCGGUUGUUCAAAUUUUUGAGACGCUUUUAUCCACGAUGGUGUAUCCUGUAUCACGUAUAAUAGAUAUAUUUUACAAAUUACGAAUAUAUUCUUAUGAAAUGCACAAGAUAUUUUGUAUCUCUUAUUAGAUGCACACUGUUUCUUAAUCUAUACUUGUAACAAAAUAAAUCGAAUCAAUUGACCCUCAAUUGACAGUCAUUUUUAUUCGAUUUUACGAACAAAAAUAAUAAAAGCAUUAAAUAUUUUAAUUAGAAAUUAUUAACAUAGAUAACAAUUACGUAAUUACAAAACUUUAAAUAUCUCGUAUAAGAAAUUUUAAUCUAUCACAAGAGAAACGAAUCAAAAAAUUUGCACUCGAACAAUUAGUUAUAUUAGGAUUCUCACGUAUUAGCCAAUUGAGGGUUUGAUCAUCGACCUAUAUUCGAUGAUUGCGAAGCGACGAUUUGUCAAAAAUCAACGCCGCGAGAGGUCGUUGAUUAGCGCUGUGGCCAAAUUUCAGAAAAAUGGCGGACUCAAUUAAUUGAGUAAUUAUACGUGGCGUUUUCGACUAAUAAUGCAUUGAUUUUCUCGACAAUCAGUCUCAUAGACGAUUUUGAUUCUUUAAUAAACGAAGAGAAAAGGAAAAGAGUUAAAUGGAAAGUGAUUACGUUUAGUCGUCUACUGCCAUAAUUUUGACCAGCGAAGAUGAGAGCAAGGAGCGAUGUACUUCUAUUCACCUCUAUUCCAGCCGAUGGUACUUGAUAAAACUCGUUAAAAAGAAGGGGGGAGAAAGAAUGAAUAUACAAUUGAUCGAAUAAGAAGAUACAAAUGGAGACCUUGAUAACCAUUCGGCGGGUUCUGUGCCACAAUCGAUACACUUCACCGGCUCUCCCCACCACAUGGUGCAUUGAACGGCUUCAGAAGCAUUCUCAGAUGAAUUUGGAACCUCGAAAAUCACGCUGGGCAUCCCGACGGCCUCCAGCUUCACCUUGGUCUCGUCCACCGCCGAUAAACUUAUCAGGAUCAAGGUUGGGUAUUGCCUCCCGGUCUGGAAUCGGCCAGUUUCCUCGUUGUACACUAGAAACAUUCUGAUGAACAGCAUGGGGAUUCAUCUUUGGUUCUUUUGGGAUAGAGGCGUUGGGUUCUUGUUAUCGCGUCUAUUGAGUCUAUCACGUUGAAAUUCUUUUGUAAACAAGUUUUAAUAUUUUUAAACGUGAAAUUAAACAAAAUGUGAAAGUAUGACGUGGGGGAAAUUUGACGGUGUUUCGUGAUAUGGAAAAAAUAAAUGUUUUAUUACGAAAUAAUUGAAAUAAUUAGUGUGUCUUUAAUUUUUAUUAAAAAUUUUAUUAGAGGUCGAGUAAGAUGGAAAUGAUCUUAAUUAUUCAUUAGUUAGAAUGAAGAACGUAAGGUAAAAUGAAUCUUGUGUUUAAGAACGAAGAAUAAUCUUAAUAAUUCGUAUUAAUUUUAUAAAGUAUUUACUAUAAGUACUUUCGUUUGUUUAUAUAAUAUGAUUCAUUUACUGAACAGUAUAGAUAAGAUCGUGUAUAUAUCUCUUUUUGCUAUAAGAAAGGGACAGUCAAUGUUAAAACGAAUUAUCUUAAAUUAUCUUAUCUUUAUUUUAACUUAUGUAAAAUAAAACAAAGAUUGUGA